UCACUCAGUGGUGCUUUGCUGUCAAUACAAUUUGCCUCAUCGGGUUUACCACGGUCUUCUAGAUCAACCUCAGCAAAAACUCUCGUAGAGGAGUAGUGCACUUUUGGUUUCCUUUCACACCGGGUAAUGGAGGCGUUCUGAUUCUGGUUCAGGCCGUCAUGAACUUAAAGUUAUCGGGCUCAGACAAUAUUUCCUCAUACAUGGCUGCUAUCUCCUGCCUAAAAUCUAAAGCUUUA